UGCAGCCUACGGGGCGCAGCAGUGGGGAAUAUUGGGCAAUGGGCGCAAGCCUUACCCAGCAAUACCGCGUGAGUGAAGAAGGUCUUCGGAUUGUAAAGCUCUUUGAUCAGGGACGAACAGAUGACGGUACCUGAAGAACAAGCCCCGGCUAACUAUGUGCCAGCAGCCGCGGUAAUACAUAGGGGGCAAGCGUUAUCCGGAAUUAUUGGGUGUAAAGGGUGCGUAGACGGAAGAACAAGUUGGUUGUGAAAUCCCUCGGCUCAACUGAGGAACUGCAACCAAAACUAUUCUCCUUGAGUGUCGGA
rnacentral:rRNA from 1 species